AAAUUGAAGAGUUUGAUCAUGGCUCAGAUUGAACGCUGGCGGCAGGCCUAACACAUGCAAGUCGAACGGUAACAGGAAGCAGCUUGCUGCUUCGCUGACGAGUGGCGGACGGGUGAGUAAUGUCUGGGAAACUGCCUGAUGGAGGGGGAUAACUACUGGAAACGGUAGCUAAUACCGCAUAACGUCGCAAGACCAAAGAGGGGGACCUUC
rnacentral:rRNA from 1 species